AACGAACGCUGGCGGCAGGCUUAACACAUGCAAGUCGAACGCACCGCAAGAUGAGUGGCAGACGGGUGAGUAACGCGUGGGAACAUACCCUUUUCUACGGAAUAGCUCUGGGAAAAUGGAAUUAAUACCGUAUACGCCGUACGGGGGAAAGAUUUAUCGGGGAAGGAUUGGCCCGCUUUGGAUUAGCUAGUUGGUGGGGUAAAGGCCUACCAAGGCGACGAUCCAUAGCUGGUCUGAGAGGAUGAUCAGCCACAUUGGGACUGAGACACGGCCCAAACUCCUACGGGAUGCAGCAGUGGGGAAUAUUGGACAAGGGGCGCAAGCCUGAUCCAGCCAUGCCGCGUGAGUGAUGAAGGCCUUAGGGUUGUAAAGCUCUUUCACCGAUGAAGAUAAUGACGGUAGUCGGAGAAGAAGCCCCGGCUAACUUCGUGCCAGCCGCCGCAGUAACAC
rnacentral:rRNA from 1 species